rnacentral:misc_RNA from 1 species
GAUGAAGAACGUAGCGAAAUGCAAUACUUGGUGUGAAUUGCAGAAUCCCGUGAACCAUCGAGUCUUUGAACGCAAGUUGCGCCCGAAGCCAUUAGGCCGAGGGCACGCCUGCCUGGGCGUCACACGUCGUUGCCCCCCCAUCUACUCCUUCGGGAUUGCGGGGGGCGGAUGAUGGCCUCUCGUGCGCCUCGUCGCGCGGUUGGCCUAAAUGCCAAGUCCUCGGCGACGCACGCCACGACAAUCGGUGGUUGCGAAACCUCGGUUGCCUGUCGUGUGCGGUCGUCGCGCAUCGAGGGCUCGAAAAAAUUGCCGGGCUUCGGCUCGACUUUCAACGCGACCCCAGGUCAGGCGGGGUUACCCGCUGAAUUUAAGCAUAUCAAUAAGCGGAGGA